AAGGGAGGACUCAGGACACCAUGGAACCUUGGGAGAUACUCCUUUCUUCUUGCCUGCUUCUCCCUUUGGGAAUGGGAAUGUACGUCCUAUGCCUGUCUCAUCACUUUGCCCUUCCACUUUCCACCAUUGAGGACGCAGCAGCAAGCUGUCAUCUUGGAAACAGAGAGCAGGUGUUUGGAACUGGUUCUGUUUCAUCUGAUUCUGGGGGCCCCUCUUUUUCCCUGUGCAAGAUCCCCAAAUUUGCUUCCUUCUCUCAAAGAAAGCUCCCAAUAUAGAUGGGACUCAAAGGGAGUCAUUUGCCCUCUAAGAGGUGUCACAAUAUGUCGUCUCAGUCAUUCACACCUUAGUAAGAAAAAGCUUUUCAGGUCCUUGCCAGAGAUUCGGGGAAAGGCUUUGAACUGAGAAAGAAGCCGCGCCCCUGAGG
rnacentral:lncRNA from 1 species